rnacentral:misc_RNA from 1 species
UUUGGCUGCAAAGACAUUUAUCAUAUUGACCACAGUGAGGAAAUCCACAUUCAAUUCAAGAAAAGCAAGCUGAAGCAUGUCACGCAAUAACCAGCAAUGACAAUAAUAUACAACAUGGAUUAUUUAGUCCAUACCACCAGCAAUACCUUCAAAUAUAUCAAAUCAAUAGAGGGAAAAUAGUCAGAACAAAUGAAGCAUACAGAGAGAGAAUAACAAAAAUAUUCAAAACCUCAGAUCCAGCAGUAAAAAUUAAUUUUUCGGAGCAAUGGAUUUGCUCCAAAAUUAUAUACCCAACAAUAAAUUUAAACAUGGAUUGAAUUUAAUAAGGAAAAGAAAAGGAGAAGCGAUAAAAAAUGAGCCAAAUAUAUGAUAAGAUGAGUAAGACCACCAAAUUGACAUUUUAUUUUCUUUGUCUUAAUAACUAUUUGCAAAGAAAAUGACAUGAGCUUCCAAAGCUUCGAAGUAUAAAUGCUAUUCAUAUAAGUCUUCUCAGCUGUCUUUGUUAAAUCAAAAAUGCAUUUCGAAAAAUAAUGAUUUCCUAUGGUGGGAAGGAGUUCCUCUUGGACAUUCAGAAGAAUCUAAUUCCUCCUAGGAUUUGAAUUUCACAAGUUUAUCACCUAAAAUCUACCACUUUCCUCUGCGGGGUAAACCCCAAAUUAUCCUCCUUUUCACAAAUAUUUCUAGUGUAGAUUUGCAAACUCGAUCACACACUUGCCAAAGUACUGAGACAAGUCACACCGCUAAUCAAGUCAUCUUUAAGACACUCUAACGAACACUAAUUGCUUGUGCAAUAAAUGCUUUUAAUUCCCUAAGAUUCCCUAAGUCUUACGAAUAGUUAUGUGAUACCAAUGCACUCAAAAUCUUUUAUCACAAAAUUAUUCCUUUCAAACUAAAACAUUAACUUUCUUUCUUGCUUUCUCUUAUUUUCACUGGCAAAACUUAAAAGAGUGAUAAAUGUUCAAACAUUUUACGUAGAAUUCAGCAUUGUUCUUCUAAAUCACAUUGACCUAUUUUAUCAAAUUUAGUAUACUGAUGGAUGGCGCAUCUAUCUUAUUUUGGAAUCAUAGAAUAAAACUAAACACAAUAUAAACUGAAUGCCAACCUAGUUGGGUCUCAAGUCUCAAAUUAUCUGUGAGGUCCUUUCUUAUAUUCUACUUGGAUAAGGGCAGCACUUUCACAAGGAAGCCAAAGAAUAGAUGAUAUGAACCUAUCUAACUCACCUCAAAAGCUAGC